rnacentral:lncRNA from 1 species
UUUUUUAUAUAUAUGGUCUCCAUAUGGUGGGAGGUCACCCACGCAGACCUUAGCACUUAAGCUCUGCUGCCAUUAUCUUCCACCUGUGUGCCCAGCCAGGUUUGGAAUCGACUGAAUUUGAAGACUUUGGAAUAGUGAAGCAGGCAAUGAUGCUGUGAUGGUUUCUAUGGAAACAGAAGUGGGAGAUGAGAGGCAACUAAUAAGAGCUCAACUCAGCCAGCUCCUGGAUGGUGAUUUAAAAAUACGGACUUUUAAAAAUAACCCUUUACCUUAUUUCCCCCCACCUAAUCUUUGUUUCUGAAGAAAGGGAUCAGAAAGGCAGUGGGUUGCUAGCAGCAAUGAAUGAGAGCUCUCACUCAUCGCUUUCAUCUGUUGGCUGUCAUGCAAGAGCUGAUUUGCUGACAGAGCCGCGAAGUUGCCAGAGAUCCUCCCUGUGGCCAGCCUGCACCGAUGCCCCCGGGGAGCCCCGCGCUGAGAGCCGCAGACCUGCGGGUGUGACGCAGUGGAUGAUUGAUUGUACCCGCCAGCUGGCUAAUAUCAUAAUUAACAAAGUUGCUACCAUGUCUGAGAAGUUUAAUCGAAAAAAUUGCCGGCAGUAUGAUGCCAUUGUCACAGAGAUCACAAGCACUGCAGUGUUGACUUUUGUACUGGUGGAGCCGCAGGACUAUGUAGAUGUGCAGAGAAGUCGUUCGCUGGGAUAACUAAAGUGACGGGGGCGUGUGUCUGUCUGUGUGCCAUAUAUUAAAACAAAAAGAGGAGAGAGACGGAGACAGAGAGAGACAGAGAGACAGAGAAGGAAAUAUUGGGAUGGGAAAGAACAGUUUAUUUACAUUACGGUAUGUCAAAAUGUUAUUAUGGCUAAAAAAUCCAUUUUAAAUAGAAAUGAGAUAGCAUAUGACGGUUCGUUCUCUUUCUCACAGGAAUUAAUAUGGCCAUGAUGAGAAAAUAAGCAAGAACCAUUUGUUUUGGUAUUAUUAGGCUGUUGUUUGGUUGUUUCUUUUUUU